rnacentral:lncRNA from 1 species
GCUUAUUCCUCUUUUUGUAAACUAUCUUUCCAUUUGUGACUAGGACUGGGACACUCUAAAAUUGCAGUGGGACUUCUAACUCUCACGCUUGAGACUCAGGCCUGCCAUUUCCAGGUGGGAUUCGCUGGUUCCUGGCUGGCUGGAGACUCCCAGGUCCCAGGAGAUGGAACCUUUCCGGGAAUCUCUGGCUGUGAAGGAGCCUCCUUGGUUGGCCCUACUCCAGUGUGGGUCACAACAGGAUUUCACACUGACCAUGCGUUUUUUCAGGCUUACUGAUAAGCUGUGGUACUAGGAGGCGAUGAAAUGUACCGCAGAUGGCCAGAUCGAGAGCUUCACUAACCCAGUGGCCUCCAAGCCAGCACCCUUUGCUCUUCCUUGCUAGCUCUUCCUUACCUCAGCAUUCCAGGAACUUCCACAACCAGUUCACAGCUGCCCGGAAAGUCAUCAGCACUGCAAGAUCCAGACUGGGCCUCGGCUGUCUAAAGAACCCUGUUCCUGCUGCAGUGCUUGGCUGGGGGUGGAUCCAGGAGCCAGCUCUGGUCACAGGAGGAAGGACACCGUUUUGCCCAGAUGUGGUGCAGGAUGACCUGAGAUGUGUCACUACCUGCCUGCGGGCGACGGCACAGAAAUGCUGGAAAGGCCUGGGUCUGUCCAUCCUCCGGGCUCCUCCACCUCAACCUAGCUGCCACCACCAGCCAACAAGCUUCCUGCCCCGUGAUACCUGCAGAGGUUGUGUUUCUAUCCUCAGCUGCUGGAAGCCUCCUGAUAGAAAUGCUGGGUUCUCAUAAAAACAAAAAACCAAAGAAAGUUGACCCUCUGUGCUCCAUGGCAACAAUGACUAGCUGCUAAUGGCAUCUGCCUCGGGUUCUCCCCAGGCCCCACCAUUCCCUCCUGCUCCGCACCUGAACCAACCCCACACAUGCAGUAGCUCGGAACAAUGCCACCAGGGCCCAGCCUUUGAUGUGGACCUUGAGGGGCACUGUCCACAUCUCAGCCUGCAAGGACCAGCCCAGGACACAGUGAAGAGUUGGUGACAGGUGUCCUGCUCCCAAGACUUCCUGUUCCGUGACCUUCCCUGUAUUUGUUCCUUUCCAAAGCAUUCCAACUUCCUUAGAUUGUUUUUUACUAUGCAAAACUUCAAAUAAAAACAAAAGUAGCUGGAAUAGUAUAACACACACCCAUCACUCCAUUGCCAUUAUCUGUCUUCUUCCAUUUUGUCCCCACCCACCUGUCCCCUCCCACAUUCUUCAGAAAGGAAUUCCAAGUUUCUUGUUGUAUCCAUCUGCCUUCAUAAAUAUUUCAAGAUAUCUCUUUAAAAGGUGAUAACUCUUAAAAGUAUAUGACCGCAAUGCCAUUAUCACAUCUGAAACAAAUAACCCUGGAUACCAUCAAACAUUCGGUCAGCAUUAGAUUUCCAAUUCUGUCAUAAACACCACAAAAUGACACACAAGUGGUCUCUUUCCUCCAGGAAACAAACAAGAGCCAUCGGUUCUGACCACUUGAUAUGUCUCUGGCAACUUGAUUAGUUUUAGGUUUCCUCUCACCACUUCCCCCCCUUUCAAUGUUUCUUGAAGAACAGAAACCCUGGGUGGGUUUUCCUGUGGCUUCUGAAGUCUGGAUUUUGCCAGCUGCACCUCUGGUGGCACUGGGUGUGUUCCUCUGUCCUCUGAACUCCACGGAGACCAUGACUGUUUAGAGCUGCACUGUCUGGGUAGUGGCCACCAACCAUGGGGACCUGCUAAAUGCUUGGAGUGAGAAGUACACAUCAGGUUUCAAAGACUUAGUGUGAAAGAGAAAGGAUGGAGUGUAUUUCAUUGAUCUUUUUUUAAUAUCAAUGACAUAUUGGAAUGGUAAUAUUUUGUUUAUGUUGGGUUAAAUAUGAUGUAUUAUUAGAAUUAAUUUCACAGUAAUAAAUAGGACACACAUGUGUAAAUACCGAAUAGUUUCUCUAGUGUGAGAAACUGAAAGUGUAAAUAAGGACUAAAAGGUAUAAUAGGUCAUGUGAAAUAGGAAGAAAAGGGGCAACGGGGAGGGGGAAGUGGGAGGGCUAGGGGAAAGGAAAAAAAAGGAAUG